rnacentral:rRNA from 1 species
CCUGGCGGCCUUAGCGCGGUGGUCCCACCUGACCCCAUGCCGAACUCAGAAGUGAAACGCCGUAGCGCCGAUGGUAGUGUGGGGUUUCCCCAUGCGAGAGUAGGGAACUGCAAGGC